rnacentral:rRNA from 1 species
GCCAGAGUCAUAUCACCCUGCAGCUCUUGCCUGGUUUCCCACUGAAGCUAAGCAGGGUUGAGUCUGGCCAGUACCUGGGUGGGAGAGCUUCUUGGGAAAACUAAGGUUUCUGCUGGAA